UCCCAAGAGCCCGUCACGAGGCCCAGUCAUUUCCUCAUUGCGCAGAAGGGGAAGCUGAGGCUCAGGGCCUCCCCUGCAGUCGCCAGCUAGAGAGAGGCUGAGCAUCGCCCAGGACCCCUGUCUCUCCGGCCCGGGGUCAUUCUGCCCAGUGUCCCACAUUGCAACCUCCUGGAGCUCAGGGCUCCUGUCUCUCCUGGGGCCUGCCCCAUUCUGGCCUCCAGCCCUCACUGAACUCGAGGCCCAGGGCCAUCCCGUUUGCCUGGGGCUGGGGUGGUGACCAGGUUGGCCAGCCACAGACACUGUGGGCUCUCCGAGGACCAGGACCAGCCUAUCCCCCCACAGGAUGAGGUCUCUCUGGGCACCAGCACCAAAGAUUGUCAGGACUUUAGGGAUAAGAGGUCGUUCCUGGUCAGGGGGGCCAUGGGGCCUAACAGGCACUGGCUUCCAGUCCUGGCUCUGCUCCUCUGUUGGGCACAGAGGGACCCAGUCUCUUUAAGCCUCGCUUUCCUCAUCAGUGAAUUGAAGGCCAGAAUCCCUCAUGCCCCACUGGGCUGCCAGGAGGAUUCGGAGAGACAGCUCAUGUGGCGAACAGAGGCAUGCCCAACUCGCUCUGACUCCUUUGUUCCUCUGGAAUAACUUUCUCCACCCCAUCCGGUGCCAUGACGGUCUGCCAGUCCGGGUGGGAUCCAGGCCCCCGGCCCAGUUCUCCUCCUGGGAUUCCUCAUCAUGGGAGUUAGUAGCUGUGGAGCUCUUCAAAGGAGCAGCCACUCCAAGUGCAGCCUCCGUGAACUUGUCUCACACCACCACGGCAGGUCGGCUGCCAGCCCAGUGGACAGGGGAGGAAAGCGAGGCUCGAAUGGCAGUCCCUUUUCAAGGCUCACAGCAGAGAAGGAGACCUCGAAGGUCAGAGAGUGACCGACAGCGGAACACCGUGUUGACAUCAUGCACCAGAAUCUCCCCCUCUGGGGAUAUGUCCUCCAGGAUCAGAGAUUGAGGGUCCGCCCCUGAAGAAAUCAGAUCCAGAGGAGCACACGCCCUGCAGGCCUCCGCACUCAGCACCCACAGGAUGCACGCACUCUCAUGCACACACCGGCAUAUCCAUGUGCACACACGCAGCACAGGUGUGAAC
rnacentral:lncRNA from 1 species